rnacentral:rRNA from 1 species
CGCAGCCGCGGUAAUUCCAGCUCCAAUAGCGUAUAUUAAAGUUGUUGCAGUUAAAAAGCUCGUAGUUGAAUUUCGGAAUUUGUCGGUUGGUCGGGCUUCACUGUCCGCACUGGCCUGAUGAAUUCCUACCUUCUGAAUAACCAGCAUGCUAUUAAUUUAGUGCGUUGGGGAAGCAGAGCUAUUACCUUAGAAAAAAUUGAGUGCUUAAAGCAGGCUCACGCUU